rnacentral:pre_miRNA from 1 species
CAGGGAGGGGGGGUGUCCCUCAGCCCAGAUUACGAGAGGGUGCAGGCCAGGCCAAGGGACCCCACUGGUGCACG